UACGUAGGGUGCGAGCGUUAAUCGGAAUUACUGGGCGUAAAGCGUGCGCAGGCGGUUCGUUGUGUCUGAUGUGAAAGCCCCGGGCUUAACCUGGGAACGGCAUUGGAAACUGGCGAGCUGGAGUGUGGCAGAGGGGGGUGGAAUUCCGCGUGUAGCAGUGAAAUGCGUAGAGAUGCGGAGGAACACCGAUGGCGAAGGCAGCCCCCUGGGCCAACACUGACGCUCAGGCACGAAAGCGUGGGGAGCAAACAGG
rnacentral:rRNA from 1 species